rnacentral:rRNA from 1 species
UACGGGGGGGGCAAGCGGUUGUUCGGAAUUACUGGGCGUAAAGGGCUCGUAGGCGGCCAACUAAGUCAGACGUGAAAUCCCUCGGCUUAACCGGGGAACUGCGUCUGAUACUGGAUGGCUUGAGUUCGGGAGAGGGAUGCGGAAUUCCAGGUGUAGCGGUGAAAUGCGUAGAUAUCUGGAGGAACACCGGUGGCGAAGGCGGCAUCCUGGACCGAUACUGACGCUGAGGUGCGAAAGCGUGGGGAGCAAACAGGG